GCGGCUGCAAUAAUGAAGGCUACGGACAACAGCAGUAGCAUGGAACUCACCAUGAACGUCUAUCUCCCAUCUUCGUCCCUCUCCUUUCUUAGUCGGCGGCGGUAAGGCUUGCCAGCAGCAGCUACGAUGGAUCGGGAGUAUUCCUGUUUCUCCGGUGUCGAGCAGAGCAACGGAGGCAGAGCAGCAGCUGAACUGACCGAGCUCGGCAACGGAGGUUUGGCGAUGGAGCUCCAGUAGCAGUCCUCCCUCUCUGACCGGCGUAGGCAGCCGCGGUGGGCUUCUUCUCCUUGACCAGCGUGUGUAGUGGGCAGCAGCAGUUCCCUCCCCUGUUUUCCGGCGGUGCAAGGUAGCGGACGGCAGCAACGACACUCCUUCCCCGUCCAAUGCGAGAAGCAUGCAACAGUGGCGAUAUCGGCGGCGGCGGUGGACUUCGUUCUUUCUCCGGCGAGAGCAAUGCAAUGCAAUGCAAAAGGGACUUCCUUGUUCACAGCAGCAACGUCGGCAUGUCACCUCUCUCUCCCGUUUCCGUCGAUGGUGGCUGAGAGUCCAUAUAAGGGUGGUAGUUCGGUGGUGGCAGAGCAUAGCAGAAGAAGAUGGUGUGGCGUGGUGGUAGGGCUUUCACGUGUUGAGUUGGAGGGUGUGGGUUCAAAUCCUUGGGAGCUAAGUGUUGGAUUAACAUUUUUUGCUAUUAAGGUUCAUAAAUUAUGGACUUGCUAUUGAGAUGAGCUUAGAGUUGGCGAUUGCUUUUGGAUUAAUACGCUUCAAGAGGUAUGCCGUAGUCUGGGCUGAGAGCGCGAUAGAGCUAGUCUUCUAUUUUGAUAAGCUUAGACUAGUUCUUGUAUUAGACUUUUGGGCCUGUGAGCCUUAGAGAUGGAUUAUGUAUCGACUUUUACGUUUGUAUUUACCUUUUGGAUGGAUGUUUAUGGAUUUUAGCCUGUGCACCUAGGAUGGAUUGUACCUUGGUGUGGCAUGACACCCUUUAAGGUUUAUAUGCUUCCGCUAUGUUUAUGAUUAGUUUCUGAGAUC